rnacentral:lncRNA from 1 species
CGCGGCUUCUCUGUUUUCAACCCGGUCGGAUGAACUGUUGCCGACGAGGUCGUUGGAAGUGGGUUUGUGGUUGAUUCGGACUUGGAGUUGGUUUCGCUGAAGCUUUUGAUGACAACUUUGCUUCGGGAGCGGCGGCGGGCCGGCCACCAGAGACGGGAGCAGAGGCGGAGCAGGCGGGGAAAAUGGCUUUGGGUCAGAAAUUUGUUUUGGGUUGUGGGUUUGUUGGAGAAGGAGAAAAAAGAUGGAGUCUUUGAAAAUGAAGAAGACUCUGAGGAGUUGGGUUUGGCAUGAAUUUGUUGAAGGAAAUUGCAGGUGCUGGGUUUCUUGCACUCAGAUGAAUGUUGGGGGAGACGUUAAACUGUUGAAGGAGAGAUGAAAUAGAUAGAGAUGUAACAGCGUUAAGCAUUGAUAUAUGUGGAGUAUUAAAAGUACUGUAUUUAUUAUAGAGUUUGCUGAUGUGGGGUUUUAUUAGCCUUUAGAUUUUUCAUCAACGGUUGAUAAUAAAAGCUAAGGAUAAACAAAGGCACCUACCAACCAAUGAGAGGAUCCUAAUCCAAAAUAGAAAGAAAAGAAAUUAAGACAAUGAGAGACGUAACAAAUUAAACUUCAAACAUACAAUUUUGUGGAUCAAAACUGAUGACUAUCAGUGACCAGUCCAUCAAUAGAGAGAGAGAGAGUUGAUUAGAUGGUCAUUGACGGUGAUAACCAGCAAAACUGGAUCCACAAAAUUGUCAAUAGGUUAUAGCGCUAUGUUCAUUAAUAUAUAGAUAUGUAAAGAAAGAAUCAAAGAAACAACACUGGAACAAUUUAGACAUCAGGAGUAGGGAGCAAAGGGGACUCAAACCAGAGCCAAACAAUUUAGACUCCAUUUCGCUCUAAAGUUUAAUGGAGCAAAUUAGGAAAGGCAAGAGGUUGAUACUCUUCCCAUUACCCCUUCAAGGCCGUAUAAACCCUAUGCUUGAGCUAGCUAAUGUUCUACACUUCAGAGGCUUCUCCAUAACCAUCCUCCACACCAACUUCAACUCUCUCAACCCUUCAAACCAUCCUCACUUUACCUUCCACUCGAUCCCUGAUGGCCUAUCCGAAACUGAGACCUCCACAAAAAGUCACAUGCUCCUUGUUUCUUGUCUAAACGCAAACUGUCAUGAUCCUUUCCGAAACUGCCUAGCUAACUUGUUAUCCGAUGAUGGUUCAGAGGAGCCUAUUGCUUGCUUAAUCACUGACCCUCUCUUUGACUUCACUCGAUCUGUCGCUAAGAGCCUUAAGCUUCCAAGGAUGCUGCUAAGAACAGGAAGUGCCACAUCGACUACUGUUUUUGCCGCAUUUCCACUUCUAUGGGAAAAGGGUUACCUCCCCAAACAAGGUAAGUUCUUCUGAAAACACCUAGUUGCCUGGUGGCUAAGAUUUAUAAGCCUAGGUGUUUACUGCUUGAUGGGUCAUGUAUUUUUCAAUUAUCCUCAUACUUAGACAUCUAUGGUUUCACUGCUUUGUUAGAAUCUCAACUAGAAGAGCCAGUAGUAGAGUUGCCACCACUCAAAGUCAAGGACCUUCCAAUGAAUUCUGGUGACCCAAAGAUAUUUUAUCAACUAGUAACUGAACUGGCAAAUGAGGUCAAGACUUCAGAUGGAGUUAUUUUCAAUACUUCUGAAGAUCUUGAAGAACAAGAAUCCGACAAGACUUUCCCAUCCCAAUUUUCCCAAUAGGUCCAUUUCACAAAUGGUUCCCAACCUCCUAUUCAAGUAGCUUAUUAUCAGAGGAUGAAAGUUGCAUUUCGUGGCUAAAUACUCAAGCACCAAAGUCUGUUGUCUAUGUUAGCUUUGGGAGCACUGCUGCAGUAAAUGAAGCUCAAUUUUUGGAAAUAGCUUGGGGAUUAGCCAACACCAAUCAGCCUUUCUUGUGGGUGGUUCGACCUGGAUUACUCCAACGCUCUGAAUGGCUAGAAAAAUUACCUCAAGGGUACCUGGAGGCUUUAGAUGGGAAGGGUCACAUUGUGAAAUGGGCACCACAGAAAAAGGUGCUGGCUCAUCCAGCUGUGGGACUAUUCUGGACUCACAAUGGGUGGAAUUCAACAUUGGAGAGUAUUUCUGAGGGGGUGCCUAUGGUCUGUAUGCCAAUUUUUGCCGAUCAAAUGUUAAAUGCAAGAUAUGUCAGUGAUGUUUGGAGAGUAGGGUUGCAGUUAGAGAAUGGGAUCAAGAGAGACGAAAUUGAAAAAACAAUUCGAAAACUGAUGACAGAGAAAGAAGGGGAAGAGAUCAAAGACAAAAUGUCAAAGCUUAAGGAGAAGACAAAUCUUUCACUCAGAGAAGGUGGCUCUUCAUACCAAUCCUUGGAUGGCUUGGUUAACCAUAUUCUAUCAUUAUAGUCACUGGACGUUGAUCAAAAUGUAUCAUAUUUUCAUCACUAUCAAGUCACUGAUUGAUCAAAAUGUGUCUGUACUCUGUAGCAUAUCAUCUAUAGGCCAAACAGACAAAUCAGUACAUCAGACUGAGUUUAGAUCACGCAAGUAUUUAUAUGUAGUUCUAUCAAGUUUAGAUCUACGCAAGUAUUUAUAAGAAGACUCCGUUCCUUGUAUUCAGUAUUAUUGGUUUUGUACAAUUCCAGAACAGAACUAGAAGGCUCUUCUCUCAUAAUUAUACAGGCUUUCACUCUUAUGCACUACUUAUAAUAUAUAGGAUUAAUUUCAGUUUACACCCCUGAGGUUUAGGGUUAACAUCAUUUCACUUCUCAUACUUAUAAUUUUGAAAAUUUACACCCUAAAGUUUUCAAUUUUCAUAAAUCAUGUCCAAUUGCUGAAAUUUUGUCUAAUUCAGACUUUAAUUUUGACUUCAUAACUCACUAAAAAGGCUAAAAUAGUCUUAUAACAACAUAAAUCGCUUUUUAGGACUUUUUUCCUACGAUUUCAUGCUAUCAUUUAACCUCCAAAUUGGACGAAAUUUUAGCAAUUGUGUUUUGACUUUAUGUAAAAAUUGGAGACUUUAAGGGGUAAAUUUUUAAAAUUAAAAGUAUGAGGAGUGAAACGAUGUUUAACCCUAAAUUUUGAAAAUUUACACCCUAAAGUUUUCAAUUUUCAUAAAUCAUGCCCAAUUGCUGAAUUUCUGUCUAAUUCAGACGUUAAUUUUGAUUUCAUAACUCACUAAAAAGGCUAAAAUAGUCUUAUAACAACAUAAAUCGCUUUUUAUUAUUUUUUUCCUACGAUCUCAUGCUAUCAUUUAACUUCCAAAUUGGACGAAAUUUUAGCAAUUGUGUCUGAUUUAUGAAAAUUGGAGACUUUAGGGGUAAAUUUUUACAAUUAAAAAUACGGGGAGUGAAACGAUGUUAACUUUAAACCUCAGGGGGUAAAUUGAAAUUAAUCCUAAUAUAUACUCCACAUAAUUACAUAUUUCAGAAAAUUUUAUAUGAAAGUGAAAUGUGUAUUUUAAUCUAAAAUGGGUUCAUUAUUAGAAGAUAAUCAACAGAAACAGUAAGAAUAAUACAGUCAUGAGUCAUUUCAGUGUCUAUGUUUUAUUCAAUGCACCUGCAAAUUAAGGGUCUACAUCUAGCAAACAAGUGGCAAAUAAAUUAAGACUAUGAGAGCUUGUAGUCAAAAAAAGAAAUAAAAGAAAUUAAGACUACGAGAGACGUGACAAAUUAAAGUUCAAACAUACAAUGUUGUCAAUAGGUUAUAGUGCUAUGUUCAUUAAUAUAUAGAUAUGUAAAGAAAGAAACAACACUGGAACAAUAUAUUUAGACUCCAGGAGUAGGGAGCAAAGGGGACUCAAACCAGAGCCAAGCAAGUUAGACUCCAUUCGCUCUAAAUUUUAAUGGAGCAAAUUAGGAAAGGCCAGAGGUUAAUACUCUUCCCGUUACCCUUUCAAGGCCAUAUAAACCCUAUGCUUGAGCUAGCUAAUGUUCUACACUUCAGAGGCUUCUCCAUAACCAUCCUCCACACCAACUUCAACUCUCUCAACCCUUCAAACCAUCCUCACUUCACCUUCCACUCGAUCCCUGAUGGCCUAUCCGAAACUGAGACCUCCACAAAAAGUCCCAUGCUCCUUGUUUCUUGUCUAAACAGACGCUGUCAUGAUCCUUUCCGAAACUGUCUAGCUAACUUGUUAUCCGAUGACGGUUCAGAGGAGCCUAUUGCUUGCUUAAUCACUGACCCUCUCUUUAACUUCACUCAAUCUGUCGCUAAGAGUUUUAAGCUUCCAAGGAUGCUGCUAAGAACAGGAAGUGUCACAUCGACUAUUGUUUAUGCCGCAUUUCCACUUCUAUGGGAAAAGGGUUAC